rfam:Capsella rubella cultivar Monte Gargano unplaced genomic scaffold scaffold_4, whole genome shotgun sequence.
AAUGGGCAGAUGAUGAAAUCAUAUUUCAUGGGUAAUUUGCGUCUGAAUUUUUGUGAUGCUAACUUUUAUGAUUAUCUGAUGCCCUGC